UAUAUUUGCCGCCUGAAAGAAAAUCUUUCAGCGUACAUAAAAAUCAUUUAAAUAAUAUUGGAAUG
ncrna:unclassified sequences S15-Flavobacteria ribosomal protein leader